rnacentral:miRNA from 1 species
AUUCGAUCAGCCUGCACUCU